UUGGGGUCGCUGUUCCUAUCUCACCUUCCUCCUCUCAUUCUCUCUCUCCAUCCACACGCAUCUGCGCUGAGUACACCCAAACUGCUUCCAAAUGCCAGAGGCAAGCAGCACUACGCGAUGGGAACUCAAGAGAGACCACGGGCCUGAUCUCCCCCACGCCCAUGUGAAUCUGGAGUAGCAGAGCUGCCUGUUUCCUGGGGUACAUCUGCCUUGUCCCCUCCCUGUGCCUCCGGCUCAUUCCUUCCUGCUUCUGGAGGGCUCGGGUUCGGUCUGCACUUGCUGGCUCAGCUGGCACAGCUGGACGAGGGCGUCCGUCGGUGAUUUUACCUGGGUGCUGCCACUGGUUGGGAGUGAGAUCGGCUGCAGUGGUUCUCGCUCCCGUGGGUGCUGCCCUGGAGAUAAUUUAUGAAUAUGUUGAACAGCACAGAUCCCGGUACAGAUCCUGGAGGGUCCCUGCUAUUUACCUCUCUCCAUUGUGAAAAAUGAUAUUUAUUCCUACCCUUUGUUUCCUAUCUUUUAACCAGUUACUGAUCCAUGAGAGGACCUUCCCUCUUAUCCCAUGUCUGCUUACUAAGAGCCUUUGGUGAGGAACUUUGUCAAAGGCUUUCUGAAAGUCCAUGUAUAUUAUAUCUACAGGAUCGCCCUUGUCUACAUGCUUGUUGACUUCCCAAAGAAUUCUAAUAGAUUGGUGAGGCAUGAUUUCUCUCUACAAAAGCCA